UAUAAGAUGCCUGAAAGAAAAGGACUAUUUUGAUAGAAUAGAUCAUGUAUAUAUUAUAUAUUACUCUUAUAA
rnacentral:tRNA from 1 species